rnacentral:tRNA from 1 species
GGAUUGUGGCUCAGUGAUAGAGCACUCGCUUAGCAUGUGUGAGGCCCUGGGUUCCAUCCUCAGCACCA